UUCUUCUCUUUUCUCUCCCUUUCUUCUCUGAAUUCUCAUCCUUUCUUCUUCUGUAAACUGAAUUAUUAACGUUUCUAUCCUAACAUUUGGUAUCAAAGCUUGAUUGUGGAUGGUUAAUACCUGCAUUUGAGUACCUUUGGGAUCGCAAUCAAUGGCUAGGUCUACUGUGGUCAGUCAGGAGGCCAUUGGGUUGGCAAAGAUUGAAGAACAGCUGAGAUCGUUAAAGUUGGAUUCGCGAAGCAACAGGAAGGAAAUUGAGAUGCUGAAAGCUGAUUUCAAGAAACUGCAAGAAGGUGUCAGGAAUGAUGUGGAAGGAGCGAAAAAAGAGGUUAUGGAGUCCAAGAACUAUAUGGAGAAUGCAAUAGGGGAGCUGAAGUCUCUAAUUUUGGGACUAAAAGGAGAUUGUGGAAAGGAGGGUUCUGUGGGAUAUCAAGAAGGGAAUGGAAGAGGAAUUCUGCCACUUCCAAAGGAGAACAAAACUGCCCAGAGCAAGGAUCAAGGGAGUCAUGGAUCUGAGGUUGAAUCAGGUAAUCUUAACAAAAUUCUCCCUAAGAUUGAAUUGGUUACAUUUGAUGGAAAUGACCCAUCGGGUUAGAUUAGAAAAUGCACAAAGUAUUUUGAGGUUGAUGAGGUUCCUAGGGAUAAAAUGAUAAGCAUUGCAAGUUUGUGUCUUGUUGAGAAGGCUGAUGUAUGGUUCCGAAACUGGAACAGAGGCAACAACUCUCAGUCAUGGGAGGAAUUUGAAGCAGUCUUAUGUAGUACGUUUGGGGAUUUGGGGCUUGAAGAUAUUGUGGAGGAAUUUAUGAGGAUGAGGCAAGAUGGGACUGUAGAAAAAUAUCAAGAUAAAUCUGAGGAAUUAAGCGUCCGGAUGGAGAGGGUUAUGCCCAAAUUGAGUGAUUCCUACGUUCUUUCGGGAUUCGUAGGAGGUUUAAAGGAUGAUAUUAGGUUGAUGGUUAGGAUGUUGAGACCAACAACCUUUGCCCGAGCUUUUGAGAUUGCUAGAUUGCCGGAGAAGCUCAUUAAUUGCAGCAAGAAACCUAACAAUUUCUACAGACCAGUCACCAAUACCUCUUUCAAGCCUUCCACCUCAACAUUCAAUCCUUCAAUUACCUAUAAAACUUCUCAGCUGAACCAGAACUACCCAAAUUCACCAAAACCACUAAACCCUGAAAUUUCUUCAGUCACAAAACCAGCCAAUAAUACCAGUAAAUCAAAUUAAACCACCAGCAGUAACUCUGUCAACCAACCACCACCAAAACCCAACAGUAAAGUAACUCAGUUUAACAACAGGCAACCUAGGCCCUGUUUUAAAUGUGGGGAUAGGUACUUUCCUGGGCAUCAAUGCAAGCCAAAGGCUGUGAUGGCUAUGCAAACUGAAGACCAAGGUAAUGAUUGUAAUAUGGAGGAGAGAAAUGAAGUAUUAGAGGAAGAUGAAGCCCUGUUAUCUCAUGAGGAGAUGACAUUAUCUGUGCAUGCCAUUGAAGGCGGUCAGGGGGUAGACACCAUCAAAGUAAUUGGCCACUUCAGAAAUAGACAACUUGUCAUAUUAGUGGACAGUGGAAGCACAAAUAGUUUCCUGGAUGAGAAAGUGGCUUGGGAACUUAAGGUGCCUCGUGUUGAAGUUCCUAUUUCUGCUAUAACAGUGGCUGAUGGAAGGAAAGUCUCUAGUUCCCCCCUUUGCCCAUCUUUCUAAUGAAAGAUACAGCACCAACAAUUCUCCUUCCCUAUGAGAAUUUUAGCUUUAGGUGGAUUUGACGUGAUAGUAGGAGUGGAUUGGCUAAAAAAUAGCUAGUAGUCUAAUUGAGGGCAUCGUUUUAAUGAGAAAAUGAUAGAAAAUAGACUUGUUUGCCCUAAUAUCUUGUUUUCUUUCCAAUUCAUGGAACAUGCUUCAUCUACUAGGCAUUUCCAAUGACAAAAUGCUUAAUGGAUUACUGAAUUCAGGAUUUGAUAAAGAAUGAAUUCAGAAGACUCAAACAGAACUCUUCUGAUUGAUGUGGAAAUUUGAAAAACAUCAUUUUAAUGCAUCGACUGUGUCACCACUAUCACUUCUAUCUUUUUUCUAGCUUUCAACUGUGAUUAUUAUGAUAACUUUUUUUUUUCUGUG
rnacentral:misc_RNA from 1 species